rnacentral:rRNA from 1 species
AUGUCCGCUUAUGCGGGGUGCUGGAUCAUUGAAAUGGAUGUGCCAGUUGAAUCUUCUUUGCUGCCUGAAAGCUUUGCAACCGAUGAAAUACCUGGGCAAGUAUUCGAGACCACAUUAGAUUUGGAUGAUGGUUUCCUUGACAAACCGAGGAGCAGUUUGGUUUCGGUCAGAGGGGGAUUUAUAUAUUUCACGUCUGUAGUUUUCACUAAUGCAUUCCAAUCUUCAAUCAAAUUUAUACUCCAUGCUUGCAUGGAAGAAAAUAUCCAAUUUCUUCAGUACGCUAAAGUGCAGGGAGAGCUUACAUUAAUUGUAGGAGAUUUCCCCACUGGAUACACUAUUUUCAAAAACAAGGUUGAGGAUGAUGCUGUGGAUUUCAUGACCUGCAAUCCCUGCAGAGACGAUUGUAGAGCGUUCGAGCUUCCCUUAACUCGGGUCAUUCUUGCUUUACCCAUUGGAUAUCGUGUACGUGUUACGGGGAAUUUGUCGGUGGGACAUAUGAGAAUGGUUGUAGAUCAGUAUUUGGUGCUCGACAGGAAUAUUGUACUGGUUGAAUGGGCAGUGGAUCAAUUUUUUGAUGCUACUAUAUGCAUCGAGUCAACUUCUUUUUUCUAG